GAGGGCCGUGGGAGAUGACCACGUUGAUAGGCACCAGGUGGAAGCACAGUAAUGUGUUGAGCCGAGGUGUACUAAUUCCCCGACAGAACUCUCGAA
rnacentral:rRNA from 1 species